AUAUGUUCCCUCCAAAUUCAAGUGGAAAGCUAACUUCCAAGAUGACGGGAUUAGAAGGAAGGAACUUUGGGAGGUAAUUAAGUCAUGAGGGCGGGGCCUUCCUUAUAAAAGGUUACUUAGAAGGCUCACCUGCUCGCUGCCGCCGUGGAGGAUACGAUGGGAGCUGUGACUCAGAAGACAUUUGACUAUGAUGACACCCUCAUCUCAGACUCCCACCCUCCAAAACGGGUUUUCCCCUUUGUGUCUAUGGCGAUGAUGAUGUAUUUUUGUUUUUAUUGCGUUGAUAUCUUGUGGGGGCUCAGCCGGGAGGCAGAGAUGGUAUUUCACCUCCCAUGUCACCAGAGUGUGAACCUCGGGGCACUGGGAGAGGCAGACUUGCCUGGUGCAAGACAACCACUCCAUCUGUAGGAGAGGAGCUUCUCCCUGCACAAAGGAACCCGAUGAGGCCCAGGAACCAGCUCAGGGAGCACUGCACAUGAGCCUGGUAAGAACCCGGUUCAUUUUGGUAGACCCGCCCCUAAGAGGCAGAAGGGGAGCCUGAUCACCUCCCAGAGUUGCCUGAGUAGUUCCACAAGGAAUAAGGAACAAGACUGCAACUCUAAGGGGCUGAGUGGCUGGUUGGAGUCUGCGUGUGACUGUGUGGGGACUUCUCUCUCAUUGAUUUCCUGUGUCAAUGACUAGGAUGAUUACAGCCAACUGUCUCUGAUUAGUCUCAGAAUGGGGACAUUAAGGAAUAUUCCCAAGCAGCUGCUCAACUCCCUUUGUUUAGGGGAAAUUCCCUAUCUUCUCUGGAUUGACAUGGACUGCCUAAUUCCAUUAGUGGAAAACAAAACCAAACAAAAACCUGGAGUCGGCUCCACUACUGAGCAUACAAGAUUGAAAACUGGGAAUUCUCUUCCUCUGCCUUCUGCUGGCACCUCACCUCUUCUGCCUUCCCUUCCCCCCUCCUGUUUCUGCACCACCUGGGGUGUAGCCUGGGUAACUAGCUCCUCAAUGCCUCAGGCACUGUUAGCUCCUCCCCCCAUCCUAGAGGUUUUGGAGAGAAGACCACACAGAUUUCCCCACUUGUAUUCUAGGUCAAGCUUAACCAUGGGGAACAAAGUGUCUUAAGUGGACCCAAGUAAAAUGUAUUCAGUAUUUCAGCUAAUUUAAGUUCGUUGGUUUAAGAUAGACCUGUUUAUCAACAUUAAGUUAAAAAAAAAAAAAAAAAAAAACUUGUAUUCUACCUAGGUUUGCUGAAGGUGUCAUAAGCUCAUGUUACCUCUGUUGCAAUUUGUUAGCAAAAGGAUGACUUAAAGUAAUGGUUAACUGUCUCAUAGUUUUCAUGGGUAAUUGUUGAGAUAGCUUUUAAAGUCUUUGGUAACCUAAAAUGUUCAAGUUAUGCCUGCGUGAUAAAUUUGGAUUGAAUUCAUUGUAUAUAUCUAAGGAGCUAAAAGGCUAAAGCACUAAUUACUAGAUGUAGGUUUGUGCUUUUGCUUAUUGCAAAAAAGGACUCUGGGUCUUACAAAUAAGCUUUGUGCUUUAUUAAGAUUUACUAUGGGAAACCUGCUUUGUGCCUAAUAAAUGUACCAUCUUAAAAAUUCUGAUGUAACAGAUAGUUCAGUCCCUCACUACUUAGUUUUCACUGGAGACUAAGGUUUCUAAGAGUUAAAAUUCUGCUAAAUGUAAUUAAGACUGAUUAAAAAUAAGGAAAGUAACUCUGUAUGUAGAAAAGUAGUAUAUACAUGAGAAAGAUAUAAGGAAUGGAAAUACAUCUUUUUUAAAUGAAGGUGAUAGAAAGCAAUUUUGUCCUAAAUGAGACUGGUUGUUUGGAGAAAAGGGACUUAGGUCAGAAUCUGAAAGCAAAAGAAAGUUGUAGAAGGUUUGUGAAGGGAAAUCUUUGGAAAGAAAUGUUGUAUGUGGUCAGGAUGGACUAAGAUUAAAAUAAAUGGAUUUUAAAAGUA